UGCGUAGGCGGAUUAUUAAGUCAGUGGUGAAAGUCUUCAGCUUAACUGAAGAAGUGCCAUUGAUACUGGCAGUCUUGAGUACAGUAGAGGUAGGCGGAAUUUAUGGUGUAGCGGUGAAAUGCAUAGAUACCAUAAAGAACACCGAUAGCGUAGGCAGCUUACUAUACUGUAACUGACGCUGAGGCACGAAAGCGUGGGGAGCGAACAGGAUUAGAUACCCUGGUAGUCC
rnacentral:rRNA from 1 species